rnacentral:lncRNA from 1 species
GGAUUUUCCAGCACCAUUUUCCUGACAGGAGUUCUAGGCUGAAACAGCUCCUCUGCCAAUAUUGGUGCAUCACUCAGACUGGCCAUUUAGAGCUCCACUAGCCCCACACACUUUCCAAAUAUGAGCACCAGGGUGUCCUUUCCUUCACUGUCCCCACUCUUCCUGCAACAAACUGGAUUCCUUCCUCUCAUCACUGACUCUCAGGUCAGGGAGGUUCUUGCCAUAAACCAGUGAGCGUCCUAUCAUGCUAUUCACCUUCUCCCUGGAAAUCAAAGUCUGUGGGAUAAAAUUCCUCUUCUUCAAGACAAGGCCAGGGCUUACCCCAUAGGUUCAGUGGGCCCGAGUCCUUUCUCUGUGAGAGGCCAGGCUCGAGUGGGACUCCCAGGAGUGCCACUGCUUUAGUUUGGGUUCCUCAGGAACUUUUUGGCCCAGCUAGAUAAUAUUUUCAUCACCAUACAAAACCUGGUGCUUUCAGAGACAGCAAUAAUAAGACCUUGCUCUGUAUACAUAUUUUUAGUUCACAAGAUAAAUUCAUACACCCUCUUACAGUGGUUCCUGAAGCAAUAUCAAAAUCAUUUGGAGAUGGACAUUGGGUUGCCAACUUUUAUUUUGCCAGAUUAAACCAUUUAAAAUCUAUUUAUGAUUACCAUUACUUUAUAACAGAAAAGACAUCUUACCGCACACACGAAAUAGAACAAUCGCAAGGAAAAAAAACAACCCAAGCCAAAAACAUCCCAGCAUUUUAUUGAAAUACAGUUGAUUUACAAUGUUGUGUUAGUUUCAGAUGUCCAGCAUUGUGAUUUGGUUAUACAUAUAUAUUUAUCUUUUUAAUUCUCUCCCACUAUAGGUUAUUAUAGAAUAUUGAAUAUAGUUCCCUGUGCUAUACAGUAGGUCCUUAUUGGUUAUCUAUUUUAUAUAUAAUAGUGUGUAUAUUUUAAUCCCAAACUCCUAAUUUAUUGUCCCCCCCAACCGGCUUUGGUAACCAUGUUUGUUAUCUUUGUCUGUGAAUCUAUUUCUGUUUUAUAAAUAAAUUCAUUUGUAUCCUUUUCUGAGAUUCCACAUGUAAGCGAUAUCAUAUGAUGUUUGUCUUUCAGUGUCUAACUUCAUUUAGUAUGAUGGUUUCUAGGGCCAUCCAUGUUGCCGCACUUGACUUAUUUCAUUCUUUUUAUGGCUGAAUAAUACUACAUUGUAUAUAUACACCACAUCUUCUUUAUCCAUUCCUCUGUCAAUGGAUAUUUAGGUUGCCUUCAUGUCUUGGCUAUUGUGAAUAGUGCUGCAUUGAAUGUUGAGGGGGUGCAUGUAUCUUUUCAAAUUAUGCUUUUCUCCAGAUAUAUUCCCAGGAGCAGAAUUGCUGGAUCUUAUGUUAGCUCUAUUUUUAGUUUGCUAAGGAACCUCCAUACUGUUCUCCAUAGUGGCUGUUCCAAUUUAUAUUCCCACUGAGAGUAUAGGAGGGUUAUUUUUUCUCCACAUUCUUUCCAGCAUUUGUUAUUUGUAGACUUUUUGGUAUUGGCCAUUCUAACCAGUGUGACAUGAUACUUCAUCAUAGUUUUGAUUUGUAUUUCUCUAAUAAUUAGUGAUGAUGACCAUCUUUUCAUGUGUUUUUUGGCCAUCUGUAUGUCUUUGGAGAAAUGUCUUUUUAGAUCUUCUGCCCAUUUUUUGAUUGGGUUGUUUGCUUUUUUGAUAUUGAGUUGCAUGAGCUGUUUGUAUAUUUUGGAGAUUAAUACCUUGUCAGUCACAUCAUUUACAAAUAGUUGCUUUCAUUCUGCAGGUUGUAUUUUUGUUUUCUUUAUGGUUUUCUUUGCUGUGCAAAAGCUUUUAAGUUUAAUUAGUUUCCACUUGUUUAUUUUUGUUUUUAUUUCCAUUACUCUAGGAGACAGAUUCAAAAAGAUACUGUGCAGUUUAUGUCAAUGAGUGUUCUGCCUAUGUUUUCCUCUAAGAGUUUUCUAGUAUCUGGUUUUAUAUUUAGGUCUUUAAUCCAUUCUGAGUUUAUUUUUGUAUGUGGUGUUAGAGAGUGGGGUUUUUUUGUUUGUUUUUGCUUUUGCUUUUUAGGGUUGCACCUGCAGCAUAUAAAAGUUCCCAAGCUAGGGGUCAAAUUAGAGCUGCAGUUGCUGGCCUCCACCACAGCUGCAGCAACAUGAGAUCUGAGCCCUGUCUGCAACCUUCACCACAGCUCACUGCAACACUGGAUCCUUAACCCACUGAUCAAGGGCAGAGAUUGAACCUGCAUCUUCAUGGACUAGUUGGGUUUGUAAUCCACUGAGCCACAAAGGGAACUCCUAUUAGAGAGUAUUUUAAUUUCAUUCUUUUCCAUGUGGCUGUAUAGUUUUCCCAGCACUGCUUAUUGAAGAGAUUGUCUUUUCUCCAUUGUAUCUUCUUGCCUUCUUUGUCAUUGAUUAAUUAACCAUAAAUGUGUGGGUUUAUUUCUGGGCUUUCUAUGCUGUUCCAUUGAUCUAUAGUUCUAUUUUAGUGCCCAUACCAUACUAUUUUCAUUAUUGUAGCUUGGUAGUAUAGUCUGAAGUCAGGAAGGAUGAUUCCUCCAGCUCCAUUUUUCUUUCUCAGGACUGCUUUUGUUAUUUGGGCCUUUUGUGUUUCCAUACAAAUUUAAAUUUUUUAAAAUUCUAGGUCUGUGAAAAAUGCCAUAGGUAAUUUGAUAGAUUUCAUUAAAUCUGUAGAUUAUCUUGGGUAGUAUAGUCACUUUGACAAUAUUGAUUCUUCCAAUCCAAGAACACAGUAUAUCUUUCCUUUUGUUUGUGUCAUCUUCAAUUUCUUUCAUUAGUGUCAGUUUUUGGAGUACAGGUCUUUUGCCUCCUUAGAUAGGUUUAUUCCUAGGCAUUUUAUUCUUUUUGAUGAGUUGGUAAAUAGGAUUUUUUCCUUCAUUUCUUUUUCUGAUCUUUUGCUGUUAGUGUAUAGAAAACAGCAUUCAAAUUUAACUUUAUAAAUUCCUUACUAUUUAAGGUACCUCUCUUCAUCUAUGUACUUUAUCAUUAGUAUUUCUUUAUAAACAGGCAAAAACUCACAGACAAACACUGGUUUGCGAACCAGCAUUUGGAAACCAUUGCUCCAUUGUUUUUGAUACUUACUAUCAUUCACUUGCAAGUGAGGAAACUGAGUUUCAGAGAUCAUCAGCUCAUAAGUGGUUGAACUGGGAUUCAAGAACCAGUGAUAUUCUCCUAUUGCAGAUUGGGCCUGUGUAACCAGGUUGCGUUUGUUGUUCUUCCAAAAAACAGUCGACCAAAAAAAAAAAAAAGCCUGGUCUGCUUUUCAAAAUCUUGCCUAGACUUGGGUCACCAGAAUAAAGCCAGUAGAUUGCAUUUUAUCUUUCAUCCAAAAAUCACUGAGCUUAUCAGAUGGUAAUAGCCUUUCAGAAUAGUUCCUCCCUAAUUUCGUUGUUUGUUUUACCAGCAAAAUCAUGUAUUAAAAUUCUAAUCUACCCAUAUACCUCUACUGACUGAUGCCUGAAGUUCCUCCAUUUUGAUCACCUCCAUUGUUGUAUCUGAAAAAAAAAAUCAUUAAAAACUUGGGAGUAAGGUAAAAAAAAAAAUUAAACAGUAUUCCAAUGUUAUACUGAAGCAUUGUUUAGCAGAUUCAACCAAGAAUUAUUUAAUUAUCCAGGGAAUGUAUCUGUGUCUGAUUGUGUCUGAUUUUCUUUUUACUACUAGUUAAGGGCUCAGACUCUGAUGUUAUACGUUAACGUCUAGAAUUUGUCUAGAAUAAAUACAAAUAAUUUUUGUCCAAUAGAAAAGAUAACCCCAAAGGUUAUGGCCCUAUAGAACAUUAACCAGUUUUGUCCCUAACUUUACAGACUUAUUUCAUUACACCUUUCCUGGUAAACUAUAUCAAUUCUUGUUCCUACAAUCCCCAUUUGAAACAGCCUUACCAUAUUGCUGGUUUUAUCCCUCUUUGAUGAGCUGAAUAAAAUCUAUUUAAAAGCAAUUUGCAUCAAUACCACUUUAAAAAGUUAUCUGUUAUUUGCCUCACUAUGAAUGAAGAAUCUGAGAACAGAUUUUAAGAAAUUGCAAGAAGCAACGUUUGGGUUCUGAGGAAGAUGGGGGAGACGGUGCAUGGGGGGAGGGGAUAUUAGUUAAACUUCUCCAGAUAGUUGUACCAGAGUAUCUUCCUUUUUUCACAUUGUUCCUUUGUCCUUGAGCAGUGGCCAGUAGCAUGGCUUGCUAGAAAUGGGAUUUACAAAGAAUAAUGACCAGAGAAAAGCUAGUUGGGGCCAGCCAUGGUGAGGAACUGGAGUUUUAUCCUGUAUAUCUUAAGAGUCAUUAAAGAUUUCAAUGCAGGAACUGAUAUGAUCAUAUUUUGAAGUUAGAAAGAUGAGUUCCCGCUGUGGCUCAGUGGGUUAAGAACCCAACAUAGUGUCUGUGAGGAUACUGGUUUGAUCACUGUCCUUGCUUAGUGGAUUAAGGAUCCAGCAUUGCUGCAAGCUGUGGCUUAGGUCACAGACAUGGCUUGGAUCUGGCAUUGCUGUGGCUUGGUGUAGGCUGGUGGCUGUAGAUCCAAUUUGACCCCUAGCCUAGGAAACUUUAUAUGCCGGAAGUGUGGCUGUAAAAAGAAAAAAGAAAGAUAAUUUUGAUAAGUGUAUUGGAUGGGUGGAGGGAGAGUUGGGUUUGCUAUAUAUGAAUGGAAAAUUGAGUAUAAAAUUAAAUGACAAUUCAAAGGUAAAACAAAUAGAUUUGAUCAGUGAUGAAAUGUAGGGCAUGAAGAGAGGAAGGAGUCUGAGAUGACAGAUGGAUUGAAGGAUGGUGAUGAUGAUCAAGGUAGAAGGCUGGAUUUUUGACCUGCUGAGUUUGAAGAUUGUCAGAAAUUUGAUUCUGGAACUUACGAGUUUGGACUAGAAAGAAAAUCUGAGGUUUAGAAGUGCAUUGGUUAUGAAUAGGAGCCACAGACAUGUGUAUGAGUAUUGCAAAAAAACAUAUAAUUGGAAAACUUCUUGACUACUUCACUGGCUCAAAAACAAUUGCUAGCUCACCAGAAUGCAUCUUCAAUUGCAAUACACUUCUGCCAUGAACAGAGCUGCCCAAAGAAUGGUAAACAGUCCAUGGCUUUUCAGAGCCAUGAACAGUUCACUGCCCAACACUUU